CAGCACAAGCGGCCGCUGAGCAAAAAAUGAUCAGACAGCACUGGCAGUGUGCCAAUCCUGGCCAAUACUGGAAGUGUUGGCGCGCUGCCCUCCCCCUGGCGGCACGUCGACAGGGGCGCAAAGGACCAACCGCCCUUGUUUGACUCCUAAUGGUCUUGACCCGGAUUCCCUCCCCCAGAACCCGG
rnacentral:sRNA from 1 species